rnacentral:sRNA from 1 species
GGAAAUAAAAUAAACAGAAAACAGAGCUGGAAAUUGGAGAUGGAAUUAUAAUACUUUUGAUGAUUCACUUUUUUGUGAUUUAAGCAGCGAGCGAGUGAGAUGGCCUAAGCAACAGCUAUAUGUCCUCACAACAGGAGCCGACAGAGGAGAGACAUCCUGCCGACCAACACGGCACAUCUUCAACAGAGGCUGGAGCUUCCACCAAAGCAGCUGGA